rnacentral:misc_RNA from 1 species
CUACUACCGAUUGAAUGGUUUAGUGAGGACUCCUGAUUGGCGUCGCCGCCCCGGCAACGGAGCAGCGGACUGCCGAAAAGUUGUUCAAACUUGAUCAUUUAGAGGAAGUAAAAGUCGUAACAAGGUUUCCGUAGGUGAACCUGCAGAAGGAUCAAGAUCGGACGAGCACACGUUCGAACUACAGUCACGUGGCCUUAUCUCGAAUGCCUGCUUCUGCUUGAAAAAAUCAUGUAGGCCAUUACACACGCGUUCUUCCAUAUCAACACAAGGUGAUUCU